GUCGAUAUGUCCGAGUGGUUAAGGAGGUAGACUCGAAAUCUACUGGGGGCAGGUUCGAAUCCUGCUGUCGACG